AACUGAAUUAAUAUGUAGAGGGGGUUGUAUCUCUGAACAUUUAAAGCCUAAAUAUUGCAACAGCAUUAUUACACAGUAGAGGGAGGAAGCUAAAGGAAGUCUAUGGACAGUACUUCCUCACGUAUUGCUAAAGGAGGAGUCGACCACACCAAAAUGAGUCUACAUGGUGCUAGUGGGGGACAUGAGAGAUCAAGAGAUAGGCGAAGGUCAAGUGACAGAUCACGAGAUUCAUCUCAUGAAAGAACAGAGUCUCAACUCACUCCUUGUAUUAGAAAUGUGACUUCUCCAACACGACAGCACCAUGUUGAACGAGAAAAAGAUCACAGUUCCUCUCGUCCAAGCAGUCCGCGUCCUCAAAAAGCAUCCCCAAAUGGUUCCAUUAGCAGUGCUGGGAACAGCAGCAGAAACAGUAGUCAGUCAAGUUCAGAUGGUAGCUGUAAGACAGCUGGGGAGAUGGUGUUUGUAUAUGAAAAUGCAAAAGAAGGAGCUCGGAAUAUAAGAACGUCAGAACGAGUGACACUAAUAGUGGAUAACACUAGAUUUGUUGUAGACCCAUCCAU
rnacentral:sRNA from 1 species